AACUGGCCUGUGUAAGCGGAUGGGCUCGGCCUCAAGGACAGGGUGCUCGGCUGAAAAAAAAAGCUCGCGGCGAUCACCGAUGCCAGGGUUCUCCAGAAACGGAGCCCAUCUAACCAAUGCCCAGCACACUCGCUCGGCUCCACACACGAGACCACCUCCGACCCGCACUAAGUCGGCCAACUGCACUCUGGAGGCGGCGGCAGCCAGCGAGGGAGAAAGGGAACUUGAGAAGGGGAAGGCUGUCCCGGGACCCCGAGGAGGACAGCCCCGCUACCGGGAACGGGGUGCGGCAUAAAACACCUCCGGCUUAGGGCCGACCCUCCCUGACCCCUGGAGGCCCAGGCGGGGCGGCUGGGGGUGACGCGGCAGGGGUCUCCGCGCCCAGGCUCCCGCGGAGCACCCACACGUGGAGGUUCCCACUUUGGGGUCGCGGCCGCAGCAGCACCGGGCGGGGUGCUGUCCGCGCUGCCCGCAUACGGCCGCGGCCUGAGUGGAGACGCCUGCCCCCAGCCCCGCGGCCUCGGCCCCCGUCCGCCCUCCCUCCCUGCUCGGCGGCCUCGUACUCACGCUGACUUCAUGGCAGCAGGCUCCACGCCGCUCAAACGCGCGCGCGGGACGGCUGGCUGGCGAAGACUGCGGGACGUUAGGACCGGCAGCAGGAACGGGGACUCCGCGGCUAAGGCGCGGUGCUCUGCGAAGCUGGCGGCGACGCUAAGAGCCCAGGUGAGCUCCCGCCUGGCGCAUUUCAAACGGGCCAAUCAGCGCCCGUCCGCAGGGAGAAGCCGGACCUCCGCGGAAGUGACUGAGCUGCCGGAAGUGGCGCUUGUCUCCUAGGCGACCGACGCGGAAAGGGCCACGGAGUCGUGUGUCGGGGCUGGAGGGAGAUCUUGAGAAACUCCAUUUUGAUCUGUACUAAGAAAAAUCUCCUUAUUUCUUUUCUCAGUCUCGUCCUACCUGACGAGAAAUACCCACAGGUGUGGAGGGGCUGGCCCCCUUCACCUGGGUCUCGACUCCUGUUUUGUUCUACGGUUCCCAUUGCAGUGCUGUGACCCCCAGAAGCUCAGGAAAACCACUGACUUCCUGGUGUUGCCAACAGGCAGAGAGGAGAUGCAGCCAGUCCUUACCCUGUAGAAGAUGGGGAGGGAGUCCCAGGUGUACGGAUAAGCAAAGGCGAGGACACGAAUCACCUUACAGAGUCUGGGCUUCUGGAUUUCAAGAAACCUAAAUCAGGGAAGGAAAGUGGGGGAGGAAAUGGAAUGAAAAGAGUCUCAGCAAAUUGCACACGCACGUGCGUGCACACCGAGGGCCUGGUCAUCAACAGAGGACAAGCAUUUUUGUGCAAGCUCCUGUGGCCAGCAGCUUCUCCACCACCCUCGUCCAUUCCUCCCCACCCCAAUGGAAGUGACAAAACUUCAGAUGCGAAAAGAUCUCCAGAGACCUGACCAUGAGAAGCAGUGGUGUCCAGACUAAGCCAGAAAGGAGGCGCUGGGCAGAAACCCUUCGAGGGCCAAGUUAUGUAACUGCCAAAGAAUCUUUUAAAACUCUAGUUGCUACAGGGACAGGGAACAGGUAGGGGGAAUUGGGGGAUCCACUGCCACAGACUCUUGAGGGGCACACUCUGCAAAGGCUGAGAUGCACCCAUCUAGUUGGAGCCCAGGUAUUAUCAUGCAGGAGACCUGGGUUCGAGUAGGUGUUUGAUCCUUGGAGAGCUUUCUGGAAUAUUUAUACCACACACAGGGAUACUUGGCUUGGGAAAACUAAAUAAAUGUGAAGUCUUUC
rnacentral:antisense_RNA from 1 species